rnacentral:lncRNA from 1 species
GUGUGUGCCUGCGCGCACAUGCAUGUCCGCCUGCUCUGGUGCAGGGCCAGGGAAGCAACGUGAGCAUGCUGUGGCUGUGAGGCUGAGCGAGACACAAUCCAACAAUGGAGCUGUAGCCAGACAGCUCUGUCUCUCUGCACUGCAACGCUUCAGAUCGGGGCGAGACGCCUCAGCGCUGCUGUUUGCUUACCAAGCUGAACAAAUAAAACUGUUUGUCACAGGGCUGAGGUGGAGGCUCGAAAUAGGUUUCCUUUUUUAUACAAGGAGAGCGCUCUAGCAAGAACAGACGAGCAAAGAUUUCUAUUAGAAACCCAGUUUAGUCCGUCGAGUGACCCAGAAAAACCCUCAAAGACGAAACAGUUACCUGAACUAGACCUUUACAGUGCAAAUCUACACCUUAUAGCACUAUAACCCCAACACAGUGUUGCAGCAAAAAGAAAUGCUACAUUUCACACAUUUCACUCUCCCCUCGAACCACACUGAACCAUUGUGUGUGAAUCAACAAUGCAGAUUUAAAACAUGCUAGACUUUCUCUGUUAAUAAGUUAGUGGUGAGAAUGUCUGACCCAGGGCUGAGCUAUGUGUGCCACAUGGUACAUGGAUGAGGCUGCUUGUUACCCAGGAUUGCCCACACUGCAGUGCGCUACCAGUUAACGACACACCAGACCAGAGCAACACACACACACACACACACACACACACACACACACACACACACACACACACACACACACACACACACACACACACACACACACACACACACACACACACACACGCAUCUCACAGGGGCAGCUGCUGUUAUUGCAUCUAUGCUAUAGUUAGUUAUAGUAGUACAGAAGAAAUAAUCACACGUUUAAACACGUCGGCCGGUGUAGGGAUAUUAGACUGAGGGUUACUGUUCUGGAGCACUAAGUCCUUACGCAUACUGUCACACUGGUGAGGAGUCCUGAAAGGGUGCCAUUUUACACAGCCAGCACAAAGAGGUUAGCAGUGAGAGGAGGAACGUACUCCUGCAGCGCAGCAAUGAGGGGAUGGGCCAGUGCAGCAAUGAGGGGAUGGGCCAGUGCAGCAAUGAGGGGAUGGGCCGAGGCUAUAAUGGAGUCGCUGUUCUGAAACACAGUUUAUCUACCUUCCAGCAUGGCUCACAGAGGGAGGGAGAAUCCACAGUGCUUUUAUUAGCAUGAUGCUAGCCUAAUCACAGCAAGGAUUGUUGACAAUAGAUCAUGUUAAUGAGGACUGUAAAUAGUCAAGAGCAGAAUGCAAACAAAACAUGUAUGUUAGCCCUAAGCAUGUUAGCCCCGUUGCUAUCAGAAGCUGGGUGUGAGCUGUUCAGUUUGCUGUCCCUAAAGCAAGUUCAAACCCAACAGACUUGCAGUUAUUUUAAGUAGUUUAGCAGAUACACUAGAAUUUGCUAGCUGCUCCGUUAAAAAAGGUUACACUACAUCCGUGACAUGGUAAUAACUGCUAACAUACAGACUCAAUGUGACAUGGUAAUAACUGCUAACAUACAGGCUCAAUGUGACAUGGUAAUAACUGCUAACAUACAGGCUCUCUGAUAUACAAACCCCUACGAACGUACUGUCUACGCACACGCUACCUUGUGUGUGUAUGUGUGUGUGCACGCAUGUGUGCAUGAAGACGAGGGCUCAGUGAGGUCAAACACAAGUAUACCGAGCUGUUAUACCUUCACGCUCUCCACAGUACUUUGUGCUGCUCUCAAGACAGAAUAAGACAUGGACAGAAACAGAAAGAAACCACUUUCCCAGUUGUCAGAGGAAAGACAAAGGAAUAACAGAACAGACUGGGCCAGUGACUAGUUUUAUUUUUUUGUGGGCCUCAGAGACAUGUCCAGGAUUGGUAACAUUAGCUUAAACGUUCACAUGUCCAGGAUUGGUAACGUUAGCUUAAACUCCAGGAUUAGUAAUGUUAGCUUGGUAACGCAAGCUCCCCCCUCCAUCUUCCACCCCACCACAAAGAUUCCUCAGCUGAUUUCAACCCACCAUUGUGUCACAUGACCCUCGAGCCGGCAUUCCUUCAACCCCCCCCCACACACACUGCCGCCUGAUUCCAGCUAACCUUUUCCCCCUUUUCUUUCCAGACGGUUUUCCUUCUCCGACAAUAUAGUGUCUAUGUACGUUUGACAGUCUGAAACGCCUUUGUCUUGCAGAGAGAGCCACGGACGGGACGACAGCGCACCACUCCCAGCUCCCGAGAGCCUAACCCGUGGACAUGAGAGCACAACGUCACAAGUUAGGGUCUCAGGGAUUGCGAGAGGCACAUUUUAUAGUUGUACUAUUUCUACUCCCAGACAGACUGUGAUUUGAAUUAAUCAUGCUGGCUUGAGAGUACCAAAUAGACUAGAAACAAACACACGAUAUUCAUGACAAUAAAGGCUUCCUUCCAUGAGGUAUUUAUGCAACGCAUCCCCCCCCCUUCUCUGCCUCUCUGCCUGUAACAUACAACAAGUGCAACCGUAAGCCAGACACAACAUCGACCAAUCUCCCCCUCCCCCUCCCUCUCUCUGGAGACCCCCGCCUCCCACCGACACUCUCUCUCCCUAUCUCUCUCUCUCUGUCCCUCUCCCUAUCUCUCUCUGUCUCUCUCUCUCUGUCUCUCUCUCUCUGUCUCUCUCUCUCUGUCUCUCUCUCUAUGUCUCUCUCUCUCUCUCUCUCUCUCUAUGUCUCUCUCUCUCUCUCUCUCUCUCUCUCUCUCUCUCUCUCUCUCUCUCUCUCUCUCUCUCUCUCUCUCUCUCUCCCAACCCCCUGGACAAAACAAUACAGCACUUUGAAAAAUGCUCCUGGCUCCAGGUAAACCCAACGCUAGCCUUCGGUUCCUUAAGCUCCCAUGCACUCUAUUCCCAGGCUGCAGCUGCUAGUUAUUAAGGGAUGGCCAGACAAAAUCCUGGUUCAGCAGCCAGCAGUACGCACAACAGCCAACGAUUCAAAACUACUAUACAGAAUACCCAAGGAAAAGAACACAAAGUCAGUUUAUCUUGAAACAUUCACGUGACUCAUUUCAUUUCAAUAUAAGGAGGGCAGAGCAAUGAUCUGGAUGUGCAUGAGGAUGGCUGAAUAUGAAUCCUCACUGAACCUACCACGACCAUUUUGAGACAGGGAGGUAGGCAGUCUCAAUCUACAGCCAUAGAUUAGGAAAUAUAGAUUGAGAAAUAAACAAGAGAGUGGCAGGAAAACGGCUUCAAUCAACUCACCCACGUCUGGUUCGGAAUGAGGAGGCAGCAACCCUUGUCCCUUGUUGCCUGCUCGACACACAGAGAAAGAGAGAGAGAGAAACGAACUCAGGUUUAAACUCAUGUCGACAAGGUUUCGGACAAGAUCUUGCAGGCUUUGUAGACGGUUACAGGGUGAAAGUGGCACGAGUGGGGAGCGAUGGGUCAGUCGAUGACAAGGAGACGAAGCGAACCGACGAACAGAAACACAUGCAAAAUUGGAAGAAAGGAGAAAGGAAAAAAUAAAACUGAAUCCCAGGUCCCCCGCUCUCGUCUUCAUGCAUCUGUGUUGAAAGGCAGGAGAUGAAAAAAUGCUUUUCCAAAUAAAUUUUGAAAUAUCAUCCAUUAAUUUGCCUGUACAGCUGUAAUAAUUUAAAGCAAGAGGCCCACUUCUCUGCUGUAUCAGCCAGAGAGACAGAUAGAGACAGAGAGAGAGGAGGAGGAGGCGGAGGGAGAGGAGGAGGAGGAGGAGGAGGAGGAAUGAGAAAGUCGGCCGCCUCUUGCUUUUCCACCUUUUCAGUGUUUUAGUUAAGUCCGUUUCCCGUCAACAAAUCCUCAGUUUUCCUUGAUUUUCUUCUUGCAUGUAUCCUCUCUGUCUCAUACGUUCUCUCUCACUUUCCCUCCCUCCCUCUCCGUCUCUCGUUUUCUCUCUUUCUCUCUCUCGCUCUCUCUCGCUCUUUCUCACUCACUGCCUCACUACCUCACACAUGCCCGACA